GAGUUUGAUUAUGGCUCAGGAUGAACGCUGGCGGCGUGCUUAACACAUGCAAGUCGAACGGGCGAAUUAUAUCGGAGGUCUUCGGGUCGAAGAGAUAAUAAGCUAGUGGCGGACGGGUGCGUAACGUGUGGGUAAUCUGCCUUUGUCAUAGGAAUAACUGCUUGAAAAAGUAGCUAAUACCAAAUAACAUAUCGUAUAGGCAUCUAUAAGAUAUCAAAGAGAAAUCGGACAAAGAUGAGCCCGCAUCUGAUUAGCUAGUUGGUAGGGUAAAAGCCUACCAAGGCGACGAUCAGUAGCCGGCCUGAGAGGGUGAACGGCCACAUUGGAACUGAGACACGGUCCAAACUCCUACGGGAGGCAGCAGUGGGGAAUAUUGCACAAUGGGGGGAACCCUGAUGCAGCAACGCCGCGUGAGUGAAGAAGGCUUUCGAGUCGUAAAACUCUGUUGUAAGGGAAGAUAAUGA
rnacentral:rRNA from 1 species